CAGUAGCCGCGGGAAUACGGAGGAUCCAAGCGUUAUCCGGAAUCAUUGGGUUUAAAGGGUCCGUAGGCGGUCUUGUAAGUCAGUGGUGAAAGCCCAUCGCUCAACGGUGGAACGGCCAUUGAUACUGCAGGACUUGAAUUAUUGGGAAGUAACUAGAAUAUGUAGUGUAGCGGUGAAAUGCUUAGAGAUUACAUGGAAUACCAAUUGCGAAGGCAGGUUACUACCAAUUGAUUGACGCUGAUGGACGAAAGCGUGGGUAGCGAACAGGAUUAGAUACCCCGGUAGUCCCUGUCUCUUAUAC
rnacentral:rRNA from 1 species